rnacentral:rRNA from 1 species
ACCCGCUGAACUUAAGCAUAUCAAUAAGCGGAGGAAAAGAAACCAACAGGGAUUGCCCCAGUAACGGCGAGUGAAGCGGCAACAGCUCAAAUUUGAAAUCUGGCCCUCGGGUCCGAGUUGUAAUUUGUAGAGGAUGCUUUUGGCGCGGUGCCUUCCGAGUUCCCUGGAACGGGACGCCAUAGAGGGUGAGAGCCCCGUCUGGUUGGAUGCCAAGCCUCUGUAAAGCUCCUUCGACGAGUCGAGUAGUUUGGGAAUGCUGCUCUAAAUGGGAGGUAUAUGUCUUCUAAAGCUAAAUACCGGCCAGAGACCGAUAGCGCACAAGUAGAGUGAUCGAAAGAUGAAAAGCACUUUGAAAAGAGGGUUAAAUAGUACGUGAAAUUGUUGAAAGGGAAGCGUUUAUGACCAGACUUGGGCCUGGCUGAUCAUCCGGUGUUCUCACCGGUGCACUCUGCCGGCUCAGGCCAGCAUCAGUUCGUAGCGGGGGAUAAAGGCGGCGGGAACGUGGCUCCCUCGGGAGUGUUAUAGCCCGCCGUGUAAUACCCUGCGUCGGACUGAGGUUCGCGCUUCUGCAAGGAUGCUGGCGUAAUGGUCAUCAACGACCCGUCUUGAAACACGGACCAAGGAGUCGUCUUCGUAUGCGAGUGUUCGGGUGUCAAACCCCUACGCGUAAUGAAAGUGAACGCAGGUGAGAGCUUCGGCGCAUCAUCGACCGAUCCUGAUGUUCUCGGAUGGAUUUGAGUAAGAGCAUACGGGGCCGGACCCGAAAGAAGGUGAACUAUGCCUGUAUAGGGUGAAGCCAGAGGAAACUCUGGUGGAGGCUCGCAGCGGUUCUGACGUGCAAAUCGAUCGUCAAAUAUGGGCAUGGGGGCGAAAGACU